GACGAACGCUGGCGGCGUGCUUAACACAUGCAAGUCGAACGGAAAGGCCUUUUCGGAGGUACUCGAGUGGCGAACGGGUGAGUAACACGUGGGUGAUCUGCCCUGCACUCUGGGAUAAGCCUGGGAAGCUGGGUCUAAUACCGGAUAGGACCGCACUUUAGUGUGUGUGGUGGAAAGUUUUUUCGGUGUAGGAUGAGCCCGCGGCCUAUCAGCUUGUUGGUGGGGUAAUGGCCUACCAAGGCGGCGACGGGUAGCCGGACUGAGAGGUUGGUCGGCCACAUUGGGACUGAGAUACGGCCCAGACUCCUACGGGAGGCAGCAGUGGGGAAUAUUGCACAAUGGGCGCAAGCCUGAUGCAGCGACGCCGCGUGGGGGAUGACGGCCUUCGGGUUGUAAACUCCUUUCGCCAGGGACGAAGCGUUUUGUGACGGUACCUGGAGAAGAAGCACCGGCUAACUACGUG
rnacentral:rRNA from 1 species